rnacentral:rRNA from 1 species
CAGUCGCCGCGGGAAUACGUAGGGUGCGAGCGUUAAUCGGAAUUACUGGGCGUAAAGCGUGCGCAGGCGGUUAUAUAAGACAGAUGUGAAAUCCCCGGGCUCAACCUGGGACCUGCAUUUGUGACUGUAUGGCUAGAGUACGGUAGAGGGGGAUGGAAUUCCGCGUGUAGCAGUGAAAUGCGUAGAUAUGCGGAGGAACACCGAUGGCGAAGGCAAUCCCCUGGACCUGUACUGACGCUCAUGCACGAAAGCGUGGGGAGCAAACAGGAUUAGAUACCCGCGUAGUCCCUGUCUCUUAUAC